AACGAACGCUGGCGGCAGGCCUAACACAUGCAAGUCGAACGAGGACUUCGGUCCUAGCGGCGGACGGGUGAGUAACGCGUGGGAACGUACCCUUUGCUACGGAAUAGCCCCGGGAAACUGGGAGUAAUACCGUAUGUGCCCUUUGGGGGAAAGAUUUGUCGGCAAAGGAUCGGCCCGCGUUGGAUUAGGUAGUUGGUGGGGUAAUGGCCUACCAAGCCGACGAUCCAUAGCUGGUUUGAGAGGAUGAUCAGCCACACUGGGACUGAGACACGGCCCAGACUCCUACGGGAGGCAGCAGUGGGGAAUCUUAGACAAUGGGCGCAAGCCUGAUCUAGCCAUGCCGCGUGAGCGAUGAAGGCCUUAGGGUUGUAAAGCUCUUUCAGGGGGGAAGAUAAUGACUGUACCCCCAGAAGAAGCCCCGGCUAACUCCGUGCCAGCCGCCGCCGUAA
rnacentral:rRNA from 1 species